rnacentral:lncRNA from 1 species
CGUGCUGACGACAUGGUCAUGCCCAGAUUGGGAAAUUGAACAGAAUCGGCGAACUAGGGGCCCAGGCGGGAGUAGUUCUUGGCCUGCUCUGGCCCAAAGGGAGGAGGGCACAUUUCAUUUUAGAGCAUCUUCUGCAGCUCCUAAAUAUCGAUUUUAAAUUCUUGACUUAAAUUUGCCCAAAUAUGGAUGUAUCUAUUCUUAAAAGGCGUCUAUAUACAUUUAAUAUUUCGACAAUUUUUUUGGAUCGGAAGGAGUAAUAUUUUAGCCCUAUUUCAUCUUGAGCUUCAGCACUAGCCUCUAUUUAUUUUAUCUUUUACACUGACACAUUACCCACUUGUCAGUGGGUUAUUUUUUUCCUUUUGAUUUUUUCCUCUUCAACUUCCCCGACGAAAGAGGAGGACAUGGGUUGGCGAUCACUUCGCGCUACUCCCUCUUCGCCCAAACUGUUAAACCGGUCGCCCUCGCCUUUCGAAUGGUUCCUUGCCCUUUUGAAUGGUUCUUGUCGGAUGCCACGUGAUUCUUACAAGUGAGGAAACUGCGACUACCGCGGGAAGGAGAAGAGAGUCAGGAUGUUUAUAUAAUCGUGGGUUAAUGGAUCUGGUCGAUGCCGAUAUGGCAUCUUACGUGUGGGACCCACCUGUAAGGAAACACGUGAAACUGCCAACCACCGGUUUCGGGCUGCUUGAGAUAAACUGCCUCAAAAUGUGUGGUUCUGUGGACGGUUUUGCGAUAAGUGUUGUUUUAGCGACAUGACGGCUCCAAUUAAUAACUGUGGUUCUAUCAAGUUUACUCAAAAUGAAAUGCACAAGUUGACACAUUAUUGUUUUACGUGAAAAAUCUGCCCAAGUUGAGGGGGCAAAAAUUAACCGGUGCAGUGUCUCUACAAAGUGUCAAUCGGGCGAAUGACUAAUCAUGCAAAUUUUCUUACUCGUGAUUCAGACUAUCUGACACAACAUGUCAACACAUGAUGCAUACGGAGCCAACGGUGCAUACGGAGCCAACGGGAGCCGGGGAGCCGGACAAUGGAGGAGGCGUCUGGCUGGGUGGAGGCGAGGAGGCGUGGGCGGGCAGCACUGCGGCAGAGCCAUGCGGUGGCCGGUGUUGCGCUUCUGCUUUCUUUCGAUCUCCCGUCCCCAUUCAGUUUGCUCCCGCGAAUCUGGUGGGCUCUUAUUCUUUUUUUUUAGAACAUGGUGGGCUCUUAUUCAAGGGCCGAGCUAGGCCUGGUGCUACCCGGGCUGUAGCAUCGGUCCAGCAAAGUAGGAUAAAACAAAAGGCAAAAAAAAAAAAAUGAGGCCACACUCAAGAUUUGUUAGCCCAUUAGCACCACCAGGCCCAUGAAAGCACCACCCAGCACAGGGAGCAGCAGGCUCGAAGCCAAGCCUGAGCCGCAUGAGCAGUCCUUCGCACAUAUCUUCUAUGAAAAUAAAUGUUUCGCUCAAAAAAAAUGAAAAGAAAGGUCAGUUAAACACGAACACAAAAAUACUUCUGUCAUGUUGGCUAUCAACCUUUCAGAUGUUUUUACCUUCUCGGUUGAACGUUUGAAUUUGGGACACGCAAGUAUUUAACAGAUUUAAUUACUUAGAUUAGCAA